rnacentral:tRNA from 1 species
CAGCAGCUGGAAUGGCGGCCGUGCCCCGCCCCCUCUGAGGCGGAGGGCGGCGGUCCGGCGCCGUCGCCGCUGCCC